rnacentral:rRNA from 1 species
AUGAAGGAGCUCAGAGCCAAUGUAGAGGAUGUCAGCCAGAGGAACAUGCGCUACAACCUCAUCAAGGGCUCUGGAUCCAAGGCCGCCAUGGCUCUAGAGCAGUCUAGCAUUUCUUCUACAGCACUGUUUGGCAUCGAUGAAGCAAGGCAUGCGGUGAAGCAGGAGAUAUCAAAGGUAGAUCUUUUUCAGCUGAUCAACGGGAAGGAGAAUGACCUUAGGGUAAUUGCAGUGUGGGGAACAAGUGCUGAUCUCGGGCAAACUUCCAUCAUCAGGACGAUGUAUGAGGAUCCAGAUAUUAAAAGCAAGUUCUCGUGCCGAGCUUGGGUCAGAGUGAUUCAUCCUUUUAAUCCAAAAGACUUUGUUCAGAGUUUGGUGCAGCAAUUUCAUGCAGCCGUAGGGGUUGAUGCUCUGUUGAAAAUGGAGAAGACGUUGCAAGAGUUGGCUGAAGAGUUUAAUGGACAUGUGAACAGUAAAAGAUACCUGAUUGUUCUUAACGACCUGUCCACUGUUGAGGAGUGGGAUCUGAUUAAAAGGUGCUUCCCAGACAAGACUAUGGGGAGCAGGAUCAUAGUGUCUACAGGUCAAGUUGAAGUUGCAAGAUUAUGUGCAGGGCGAGAAAGCAUAGUAUCAGUACUUAGGUGCAUGUCUGCUGAUCAGAGUAUUUAUGCUUUCCACAAGAAGGUCUCUCAAGAUGGAACAGGUUUAGAGUCAAGCUCAGACCGUGUCACUACCACUAAAGAUAAAAACUCUAUAGUGCCCACUGGUGAAAUAUUAGAGGAUCAAUUCAGAGGUGCUCCUGAAAAAAAUAUCAUAAAAAAGAGCUUCACUCGCACCAGGACGAUGAUGACUGCUUUGGAGGAAUCUCAUCUUGUUGGGCGAGAAAAAGAAAAAGAUGAGAUUAUCAAGCUUAUUUCAGAUCAAGCUACCCAAAAAUACCAGGUGAUCUCUGUGUGGGGAAUGGGUGGUCUAGGAAAGACCACUCUAGUCAAAGAUAUCUACGAAAACCAAGAGCUGAGUAGCACAUUUGAGAAGCGUGCUUGUGUCACAGUUAUGCGUCCUUUUAAUCUUGAAGGUCUUCUUAGGAGUUUAAUUAUGCAACUUGACACAGAAUCUUCAGAUAAGAAAGACGUGGUUGGUUCGAUGGGCAAGGCAAGGAACACAUUACUACUGAUGCCACCAAUAGCACUUAUUAAGGAGAUGGAAAGGCUUAUAGAAGGAAAGAGGUGCUUGAUUGUUCUUGAUGAUGUAUUGAUGUAUCAUCUACUGCAGAAUGGAACAUGA